ensembl:lncRNA
AGAAACAGUUCACUGGCUGAAUACCCCUAGCAAAUCAGGCUACUUGAACAGCAGAAAGGUUUAGCAACUUUUGCGGUUUGGGGGUUUUGAUUUGUUUGUUUGUUUGUUUUAAAAAAAGGCUUAAUCAAAGGGCUGGCUUUGCUGACAGGUUUUCCUGCCUCUCCCAGAGGUGUCAGCAGCCCUGUUUGGCUAUGCUCUAAGAGGCAGGUUGCCUGGUCCUACAGCCCACAGUGAUUUGCAGAAAGAAUUUCAACUCAGUUCACUGCUAGUUGGUGCCUGUGUCACGGCAAUAAGAACAACUGUAUAACGUGGCUUGCAUCUCAUCCUCCAAGUCUGCUCUGGUUUCGCUGUCUUCCCAUCACACUACUUUCAAACAUAAGAACCAAGAUGCUGAGGAGCAGCAAAAGAAGGCGUUUAAAAUUCCAGAGUAGCUUCACAAACUUCACAUGUGACUGACAGAGAACUCCCAGGUUUCUGAAGGGUUUUCUGAUAUAUGGUGCCACGAGACCCAGAGACACAACUCUCAGAAGUCUGAAUGGAAUCCAGCUUUCUGAAGCUCAGUCUCAGGGGCAUGCUCCAGACUCUGUGGCCAGAAAAAAUGAUGCUGAUAACUAAAAUCAGACAAAAAACCCUCACACACCACUUGAAGGCAUGGAUGUUAGUGGACAGAAAGCCUUCCACAUGCAUACAUGGUUGCAAAGGGAAGUAGUGGUGGUAGUUCAGCAGGAAGACAACUUACCACUCUGAGUCCUUAUCUAAAUGUACAUAGGCCUGAUUUUUUUUUCUUCACAUGUGCAUAAAGAUUGACAUAUCAAUGUUGUAGUAGGCGUCUUGCGGGGGCACGGGAUGUACGGGACAGGCCUCUCCCUAAACAUAGAGAGAUAGUGCUAUCGUGCUGACCUUGUUGCAGAGAAAACAGGAGAAGAAGAAGGAUGAUAAAAGAAUGUGGAAAUGGCCAAAUAAGGCACAAUGUUAUCUGGUGUGAACUAAUCAGAGUGGGACAUGACAGCACGGUUAUCUAGGUAAAAAUGUAUAUAAGCUGUGUUUAGUAGUGAAUAAACGCCAUUUGCCUCACUUACUCCUGGGGUCUGGGUGAGCAUCUGGCCCCGACCUGGUAAAGGGUCGGUUUCGCCCAGCAGUAAGCCCUACAUGUGGACAGAGGACGAACACCGGACGAGCGAACGGAGACUACAUGCAACAAGUGGUGACCCCGACGUGAUCUGUCUGCUGAGGGUGGCUGCCCGGCGUGCCCGUGACGCGGAGAAGAGCCUGUGAGGUGGCGGCAGGUCGCGCACGGAAGACGUAUUGCGGUUAAGAGCCUGCGAGGUGGCGGCAGGUCGCAUACGUAACAAUGGACCAAGUCAUUAAGGUACUUGUGCAGUUUUGUAAGGACUACUGUGGAAAAUCUACUCCUUCCCGGAAGGAGAUCGCGGCAGUUUUGUCGCUGUUAAAUGAGCUGGGGGAGCUGGACUCUCCCCGCUACGUUUUGGAUUCGAGUAGGUGGGACUUGCUCACCUCGGUGCUAUGCCAGCGCGCCAUGGCCAGUCAGAAGGCUACGGAACUUAAAACGUGGGGACUGAUAUUAGGAGCCCUUAAAGCGGCCAGAGUUGAGGGAAAGGUAUUGGCAGAGGCUCGAUACCUUUUGGGUCUCAGCGGAGGAGGUGAGACACAGGACCCGGUCGGGUCCGAUGGGGGUUCGGGAGCAGUUUCUUGCAGGGGCCGAGAGGAGACGGAGCCGCCAAUGACCGUUGGCGGGAUGGCGCCGGCUGAGCCGACCGCGCUCAGUUCAAAAGAAGACAAACAACAAGAGAGUGAAAGUUUGUUGUCUCGUCCCCCUCCCCCGUAUCCGAACCCCUCAGGCGGAACGUUGUAUCCUUUAUCAGAAUUACGUCAGUGUUACCUGACUCAAGGGGGCGGAGGAAGCUGUGAUCUACACGGGCAGGAUCAACUUAGUGCCCACAUGGGGAGGGACCAGACAAAAGGUCCGUCCAAUGCGGACAGGGGGCAUAGCCUACUGUCUCUGGUCACUCCCGGGGGCGGUAGUGCGAGUGAUAGUGUAGAAGAGAAAGAAGGGACUGGCUCUGAGUGCAGGGGGAGGGAUCAAAUGACAGACUGGAAUGGGAUUAGAUCGGAGGCUUUGGGAAAGGGUAUAGUUCCAGAGGCAUUCCGGGUGAUUGUGAGUGAUCGUGGUCCCGAAUGGGUGCCGCCUGACCCCGGGGGUGUUACGCGCCUGGUGGAAUUUAUGGAUAAAAGAGGCCUGAAAUCGCCUCUGACAUUAAAUGCACUACAAACUUUGGCUGCACUGGGGCCUCUCUUCCCCCGUGACAUCACAAACUUAAUGCGUAUGGUGCUCAGGCUGGUUCAAUAUACGUUAUGGGAGACGGACUGGGUGGCCGAAUUGGGGGGCCGUGCCGGGGCGACAGGGGUCAGCCCGCGCCGCUCCCUGCAUGGGACCGGAAUACAGCGGCUUUCAGGGAAGGCCGUGGGAGUGGCUUCGCCCCAGGGCCAGCUAGCGAGACUAAGGCCAGGGGAGCUAAUAGCAGCCACAGAUGCAGUGGUGGAAGCGUUUAAUAAACUUGUGCAUAAGGCCGAACCACCUACUCCGUGCACAGAUAUUACCCAGGGCCCGAAUGAAUCCUUUCAAAGCUUUACAGACAGGCUUUUAGCUGCUGCAGAGGGGUCUGAUCUCCUGGUACCGGCCCAAGGGCCAGUGAUCAUUGACUGCUUGCAGCAGAAAUCGCAUGACAAUGUUAAGGCAUUGCUGCGAGCCGGCCGAAGUACGCUUAAUACCUCGGGAGCCGGCCGAAGUACGCUUAAUACCUCGGGAGAAGUUAUUCAGUAUGUCUUAGAUAAGCUCAAGGUGGCUCAUUUAACUAAUGAAAGGCUAGUCACAGCUAUUGUCGUAGCUGUUGGCCUGCGACAGCAAAGAUCGCUGCAGCAGCAAGGGCUGUGUUUCCAUACGGCCAGUAUGGCCAUGUUAGAGCACAAUGCCCCUGUGGGGGAGGCCAGUCAGGGCCUCCUGAUCACAGGAAGGGCUUGCUAAAGGGUAUCCGUGGUCGGGUAUGCAGCAGUUAAAUAUCAUGAAUCUGGGAAAUUCUGUGGGUACCAUCGUGAAAAGUAAUACCAGAUAUAAGUAGCAUAUCUGCAAAAACUGAGUCUAGGUGCGAGUUUUCUACAGAAAUUCUUCGUUGGCAGACCGAAGCCAACUCCAGAACAACUGAGGGACAGACGAUGGGAUCAAGAACCACUCGUCAAGAGGAGCACUACACCUGCAACGCUGACACUUCCGAUGUUGCUGAUAUUUAUGGUGUCCAUGGCGAUUACAGAGUGUCACAAACAACUACAAUGGACGCAAGAACAUCUGCAGAAAAUUAAAGAAGAGCGUGAUCCCUUUGGAAGCUGGCUGGACGGACUGUUUGGGGGAACGGGUUCAUGGUUAAAGCAAUUGCUUAAAGCUCUCGCAGUAGGAUUUGCAAUCUUUGUGUGUAUUCUAAUCUGUCUUCCAUGCUUUGUAGGAUGCUUGCAGAACUGCCUUCAACGAAUGAUGGACAAGACUUUUGACUAUCACAUUGAGUAUCAUAGAUUGCGUGAAAAAUUAUAGAGGGGUUUAGGUUGUUGCGUUCGUGCUGUAACGGGGCAAGGCUUGGCCGAGCACGGAAAAGAAUUCCCUGUUGCUCUGAUGAUUGCUUAAGAACUGUAGUAGAAAAUAGUAGGAAUAGUGUGCUGAAAUAUAUUUAGGAUUAGGCGUUUUGCGCUGCUUCGCGAUGUACGGGUUAGGUGUGUGUGUAAGUAGUGUUUAGCUUAGGGAGGGGGAGAUGUUGUAGUAGGCGUCUUGCGGGGGCACGGGAUGUACGGGACAGGCCUCUCCCUAAACAUAGAGAGAUAGUGCUAUCGUGCUGACCUUGUUGCAGAGAAAACAGGAGAAGAAGAAGGAUGAUAAAAGAAUGUGGAAAUGGCCAAAUAAGGCACAAUGUUAUCUGGUGUGAACUAAUCAGAGUGGGACAUGACAGCACGGUUAUCUAGGUAAAAAUGUAUAUAAGCUGUGUUUAGUAGUGAAUAAACGCCAUUUGCC